UACGUAGGGGGCAAGCGUUGUCCGGAAUCAUUGGGCGUAAAGCGCGUGUAGGCGGCCCGAUAAGUCCGCUGUGAAAGUCCAGGGCUCAACCCUGGGAUGCCGGUGGAUACUGUCGGGCUAGAGUACGGAAGAGGCGAGUGGAAUUCCCGGUGUAGCGGUGAAAUGCGCAGAUAUCGGGAGGAACACCAAUUGCGAAGGCAGCUCGCUGGGACGUCACUGACGCUGAGACGCGAAAGCGUGGGGAGCAAACAGG
rnacentral:rRNA from 1 species